GCCCUUGUAGCUUAGUGGUAGAGCGUUGCACUUGUAUGCACGAUAUGCAAAGGUCAUGAGUUCAAUUCUCAUCGGGGGCA
rnacentral:tRNA from 1 species